rnacentral:rRNA from 1 species
AUUGAACGCUGGCGGCAGGCCUAACACAUGCAAGUCGAACGAGUGGCGGACGGGUGAGUAAUGUCUGGGAAACUGACUGAUGGAGGGGGAUAACUACUGGAAACGGUAGCUAAUACCGCAUACCAUAAGAUGGGACCAGAGGGGAUUAGCUUGUGUGUGGGUUAACGGCUCACCAAGGCGACGAUCCCUAGCUUGUCUGAGAGGAUGACCAGCCACACUGGACCUGAGACGCGGUCCAGACUCCUACGGGAGGCAGCAGGGGGGCAUAUUGCACAAUGGGCGCAAGCCUGAUGCAGCCAUGCCGCGUUUAUGAAGAAGGCCUUCGGGUUGUAAAGUACUUUCAGCGGGGAGGCGUUACCCGCAGAAGAAGCACCGGCUAACUCCGUGCCAGCAGCCGCGGUAAUAC